rnacentral:rRNA from 2 species
GGACUACAGGGGUAUCUAAUCCUGUUUGCUCCCCACGCUUUCGUGCAUGAGCGUCAGUACAGGUCCAGGGGAUUGCCUUCGCCAUCGGUGUUCCUCCGCAUAUCUACGCAUUUCACUGCUACACGCGGAAUUCCAUCCCCCUCUACCGUACUCUAGCCAUGCAGUCACAAAGGCAGUUCCCAGGUUGAGCCCGGGGAUUUCACCUCUGUCUUGCAUAACCGCCUGCGCACGCUUUACGCCCAGUAAUUCCGAUUAACGCUUGCACCCUACGUAUUACCGCGGCGGCUGGCAC